rnacentral:rRNA from 1 species
AUGGGCCGCCGCACCGGAGCCAGCCUACUCCGUGCCCUGCUGUUUGCGUCGCUCUUCGCGGGGUUCGCGGCGCAUCUCGCCGCGGGGGAGAAGGACUGCUACGACGAGAAGGACAUGAUCAUGAGCAUCUGCAUAGAGAGCAUCAAGAAGCAGGGCUUCUACACGCCCCCAAGCCCGGACUGCAGCAAAGAGGUGAAGAAGGUCGACAUGCCCUGCAUCUGCCGCGUCCUCACCGCCUCCGACGAGCGGACCGUCAGCCCCGUGAAGCUCGUCCACCUCGCCCACGACUGCAAAAUCAAACUCCCCGUCGGGAGCAAAUGCGGAAGUAAGCAACUAAGCAUGCAUGCAUAUAUACAUGCUUGCUAUGUGUGCAGAGAUCUUGCAUAA